UCGAGAGUUUGAUCCUGGCUCAGGAUGAACGCUAGCGGCAGGCUUAACACAUGCAAGUCGAGGGGUAUAGUUCUUCGGAGCUAGAGACCGGCGCACGGGUGCGUAACGCGUAUGCAAUCUACCUUUACAGAGGGAUAGCCCAGAGAAAUUUGGAUUAAUACCUCAUAGUAUUUUCGAAUCGCAUGAUUUGAUUAUUAAAGUUCCAACGGUAAAAGAUGAGUAUGCGUCCCAUUAGCUAGAUGGUAAGGUAACCGGCUUACCAUGGCAACGGAUGGGUAGGGGUCCUGAG
rnacentral:rRNA from 1 species